CCCAUCAUGCUUCAGAAACCCAGAACGUAAUAGAUGUUGUUGUAGUUGUUGUUAAAGAGAAGACAAGAAGCGUAUCCAUCGAGCACCGAGCUCUCAGUUCACUUCCAUUCUUCGUUAAACUGAAGCUCCCAACUCAUCUUUCUUGCUCCAAAUUCAACUUCAGAUUUCGUUUACUGGGUAAUUUUCCUAUCUGCUUCAUUUCAUUGUUAACUCUGUUCUAUUAUCUCAAAUUCGAUUCCUCCAUUGCCUGUGUAUGUUGCUUUUGCACUUUGUUUUCCUAUUUGCACACCAGUUGUUUGUUCAUUUGCCUAACUGGGAAAAGGGUUUUUUUUUCUGACCCAUAUUUGCUUCAGUGUCUCUUCAACAUCAAAUUUUAAAAAUUGUUGAGGGCAUGCUUGUUCCUUCUUUUUUUAGUGUUUAGGAUUUGUGGCAUUUUGAGUUUUAUAUACCCUUUUAGUUUUUUGAAGUUGAUGAUAAUUGCUUUCGCUCGCAUGUUUUUUCAUGAUAAUUCUAGAUUUGUUUGCAACUGGUUUGUCAUAGGAUGCAGAUACCCAGUAGUGAGUUUACAUUUUUAUGUUCUGAUGUUGGUUGGUGGGUGUUGUGUUUUCAUACCUGUAAUAAUAGACUUUAUCGAUGGAAUGAUACUAGAUUUUGAUGUUAUUGAGGUUGUUUCUGGUUGACCUGCAGAAGGGGAACCGUGAAAAUAAUAUGAGCAAGUCUUCAAUUGAAUUGCUCCUAUGGAAAGCCCUUUUCCCCCUUACUGAAACCAACAAGGAAAAGGGCUGAUUCGCUACCUUCUUCCAGAUGCUCAAGCUCCAGUGAAGCCAGCACAGUGACCAAAGUGAAAGAAAAUGAUGGGGGGUGG
rnacentral:lncRNA from 1 species